GGGGGCGUUUAUGGAUUCGACAGGGGUCCCCAGAGCUCAUGAAGCGUGUCGGAGGGUUGUCUCCGCAACAACACAUCAGUUUAUAAUAACUGGCAAAACUAACAACAAUUUAGCAGUAGCUGCCUAAUCGCACUCUGCAUCACCUAACAACAUCGCCUAUGUGUUGUUAACGUGAUUCAACUUUAGUAGGAUACGCUUGUCACUGCCGUUUGAAGUCUGACAAGAAGAGAUGAAUCAAGCUCGCAUAAGGUUGGUUGUCUGUUUCUAAGCCUUAUGUUAAAUUUUCAAACAGACUACACACGUAGAAACAUUUGUAUCAGGACCUUUGGACGCGGGUUCAAAUCCCGCCGCCUCCAUAA
rnacentral:tmRNA from 1 species